GUCUGGAGGGCGGCCUCUCUGGCGGGGAAGCCCAGCGAGGGACUGAGGCUAGGAUGGGGCAGAGGCCAUGAGAAGGCCCACCCCCCACCCCCCGUGCAGGGCCCUGUGCUCAGGGGGUUGACUGGAAUUAUGACAGCAGGGGACCAAAUUAAAUGAUUCCCUUUUCUUGGAUAGUAACAGUGACAGUAUUAAUAUGGCAAUAGUAGCACUUACACAGGAAGAAACGGAGACACAGAGACAUUAAGCAACUUGCCCAAGGCCACACAGCCACUUUUUUAUACCCUCUGACCCUGCUCACUGCGGUCCAGAAUGCACUGCUCCAUCUACUACAGAUCACUGCUGGGUCCACCCACCCUUUUGACUUGGAGUGGAAAAGAAACCAUCACCAAGUCAACGGCUGUAUACCAUGGACCUCAGACUGUGCUAAUCUGCUGUAACAGAGACACCACAACUGGCAGCGCAGCUGCAAUUAGAGCAUGAAGAGGGGAAGUGAGGCAGAAGACGAGACCAGAAGUGCAGAUUGGUGCCAGAUUGCAAAGGGCCCUGAAGGGCUCACAAUGGGAUUGGACCAUGGCCUGAAUACGUGAGGAGUCCCCACAGGUUGUAGUAUGUUCCAUCCACUCACUCCUUUAAAACAGAAAACUGCAAGCUUCCGAAUGAACUGUCUCACUAGCUGGAGUCCGUGCUCCGUGCCGUGACGGGCUGCCCUGUUCCCGCCUUCAGGAUGGAAACGCUCAUCCUCCUGGCUAUUAAAAUGUCACAGCUGUGUCCCAGCCACCCUUAAACUUCCCUUAUUUCCGGACUAGAACGUGCUCUUCCAACCUUCCACUCCUCUGCCUUUGCUGUCCUUUCUCUGGGCUAUCUCCUCCACUUCCCAUGUCUGGAGAAAUUCUAUUCAUUCUGCAAGACUUCCUGGGAUGUUUCCUCUCCCUCGUGAUAGGAUUAACCGCUUCCUUCUGUUUCCAGAGCAUUUUGUUCACAAUGUGAGCUUAGGACUUGAACAGAUUCUGUAUGUCACGUUGUGGCUGUCAGUGUCCUUGGCUCCCCUAUGAACUGUGUACUCUGCACAUCAGUCUGGGCCAUGUGUCCUUUAUCUUCAUGUCACCAGAGGUUUCCAUACAGCCUGACACGUAAGGAAUGUUAGUGAAUUAAAUUUGUUAUUCAGUUGAAUCAGAUUCUGGUGUUAAGAAAGGAAAAUAAACUCCAGGCUGAGAUGCACACAUUUUUUCUUUCAUAAAACAUGCAUUUGUUGUCACAAAACAGUGGGCUCAAAG
rnacentral:lncRNA from 1 species